rnacentral:rRNA from 1 species
AAGCUGGAAUCGCUAGUAAUCGCGGAUCAGAAUGCCGCGGUGAAUACGUUCCCGGGUCUUGUACACACCGCCCGUCACACCAUGGGAGUCAGUAACGCCCGAAGUCAGUGACCUAACCGAAAGGGAGGAGCUGCCGAAGGCGAGACGGAUGACUGGGGUGAAGUCGUAACAAGGUACC